rnacentral:rRNA from 1 species
AUACGGAGGAGGCUAGCGUUGUUCGGAAUUACUGGGCGUAAAGCGCACGUAGGCGGAUUAAAAAGUUAGAGGUGAAAUCCCAGGGCUCAACCCUGGAACUGCCUUUAAAACUAGUAGUCUAGAGUUCGAGAGAGGUGAGUGGAAUUCCAAGUGUAGAGGUGAAAUUCGUAGAUAUUUGGAGGAACACCAGUGGCGAAGGCGGCUCACUGACUCGAUACUGACGCUGAGGUGCGAAAGCGUGGGGAGCAAACAGGAUUAGAAACCCCGGUAGUCC